rnacentral:tRNA from 1 species
GCCCUCGUAGCCCAACGGGAGAGGCAACGCGCUCAGAACGCGUUCAGUCCAGGUUCGAAUCCUGGCGGGGGCACCA